rnacentral:rRNA from 1 species
AAUAGAUACCCGUAGUCCUAGCCGUAAACGAUGAGCACUGGGUAGGGGGCCCGCCCAUGGGCUCCCGUGCCGCAGGGAAACCGUGAAGUGCUCCGCCUGGGGAGUAUGGCCGCAAGGCUGAAACUCAAAGGAAUUGACGGGGGCUCACACAAGCGGUGGAGCAUGUGGCUUAAUUCGAGGCUACGCGAAGAACCUUAUCCUGGGCUUGACAUGCAGGGAUUAGCCGGCGGAAACGUCGGCGACGCCGCAAGGUGGAACCUGUGCAGGUGCUGCAUGGCUGUCGUCAGCUCGUGCCGUGAGGUGUUGGGUUAAGUCCCGUAACGAGCGAAACCCCUGCGACCAGUUGCCAGCGCGUCAUGGCAGGGACUCUGGUCGGACCGCCGGCGUCAAGCCGGAGGAAGGCGGGGACGACGUCAAGUCAUCAUGGCCCUUAUGCCCAGGGCUGCACACGUGCUACAAUGGGGUGGACAAAGCGUCGCCAGGCCGCAAGGCCGAGCCAAUCGCAAAAACCAUCCCUCAGUUCGGAUU